UACGAAGGGGGGCUAGCGUUGCUCGGAAUCACUGGGCGUAAAGGGUGCGUAGGCGGGUUUUUAAGUCAGAGGUGAAAUCCUGGAGCUCAACUCCAGAACUGCCUUUGAUACUGAGAAUCUUGAGUAUGGGAGAGGUGAGUGGAACUGCGAGUGUAGAGGUGAAAUUCGUAGAUAUUCGCAAGAACACCAGUGGCGAAGGCGGCUCACUGGCCCAUAACUGACGCUGAGGCACGAAAGCGUGGGGAGCAAACAGG
rnacentral:rRNA from 1 species